rnacentral:rRNA from 1 species
CCCUUAGAUGUUCUGGGCUGCACGCGCGCUACACUGAUGCAUCCAGCGAGUUGUAACCUUGCUUGGUAAAGUUUGGUAAUCUGAGCCUAAUGUGCAUCGUGAUGGGAAUAGAGUUUUGCAACUAUUAGUCUUGAACGAGGAAUUCCUCGUAAGCACGAGUCAUCAGCUUGUGCUGAUUACGUCCCUGCCCUUUGUACACACCGCCCGUCGCACCUACCGAUUGAAUGGUCCGGUGAAGCCUCCGGAUUGGCGCGCACCUCGGUGCCGCCGAGAAGUUGGCUAAACCUUACCAUUUAGAGGAAGGUGAAGUCGUAACA